AGUUCAAUUAUUCCACUUGAUUGAUGUUAAAAUGAAUUCAGAAAAUGACAUUUUAAAAAGAGCAACAAUACCAUGAACUAAUGUAUAUGCUAGCUUCUUGAUUUUGGAUAUGAAUUACGAACAAGUAAUUGUUGAAUCUGUGCAAUUACCAGUACCCCCAAAUAAGAAAUUAUAAUCCCAGUAACCAUCUCGAGCAUUAUUCUCCUUUCCUUCGCAAUAACACCUAGAUCGAUGAGUUUGAACCAACGAUUCAUCGGGUUGAACUUCUUGAUCAAUGUCCACUCCAUACAUGACUUGACGCAUAUGACAAGUGAGGUGCAGAUUGUCAGCCUGAAAUUGACCAUUUCCCAUGGGUGGACUCACUGUUUCACCAGCUGGUGUGUAUCAGACCCGUUUCUCAACUCCUUAAAAAGAGUAUCAGGCCAAAAUCCAAUAGCAAACAUUGUGGCCAACUGAAGAUAGUACUCUGUGUGUUGCAAUUAUUAUUAAUAGAAGAUACUUGAGGUAAAUUUGAA
rnacentral:lncRNA from 1 species